AGCCCCCUGUAUUCGUGCCGAGAUUUCGUCAGAGAUCAAACCGUUGAGGCUGAUAGUACUUCCCAAAUAAGUGAAGCG
rnacentral:pre_miRNA from 1 species